UUCUCCCGCAGGAAUCGAACCCCGGUCUCCCGCGUGACAGGCGGGGAUACUCACCACUAUACUACCGAGGA
rnacentral:tRNA from 13 species